AAACACUUAUUCGUUUCCAAAAUAAACACCAGCUGUUUAGUUUUUCCUCACAAAUGUCGUCCAUUGCGGUUUUCCUGUGUUUGCUGGUCAUCCUGGUUUCAGGAUUAAAAGCGACCUAAAGGACCGUCACUAUAGUUUCAUUUGGGAGCACAACACAUGGAUAUUUUGCGCUAUUUAACAUGACGACACGUACAACGCAGUCAGAUAAUCAUCAGGUUUGUGGUUUGUACUGAUCUGGCAUCGACGCUUUUGGGCAAGGGCGUAGAUUUGGCAUGGACGGAAGGGACGUGUCCCCACCAAUAUCCAGCAAUUAUUGAAUUGUCCCCACCAAUAAUUUGAUCUCUUCGAGUAAAGAAAGAAAAAAAAACGAUCUGUCAAAACGUCUCAGUCACCCAGCGGUGCAGAAAGAGUUAAAUUACGUUCUCUACUGGAGUCCUACGUCAUGUGACAAAUAUGGCCAAUGUGAUUGGCUGUGCCUUUCAGCGAGCUCUGUUUAGUUUUAGCAGCAGCAAGCCUGCGCUGCGAGGACCUGCGAGGAGGAGAGGAGGACGGCAGCAAAAAGGAAGAACCUGGAUAUAAGAAAGUAUUUUUCAAAGAAACUUAGCUCAUUGUGAAGCUUGGAGAAGAUGCCCCUCUUCAGUGUCAGGGUCCCAGAGAUGCAGAGAUCACCCUGUUGGAGUGGAACAGAGCUGACCUCAAAUCAGAUGAUUAUGUCUUCUUGUACAGAAACCAGCGCUCAUAUGAAAGCUACCAACAUAAGUCCUUCAAAGGCCGAGUGAACCUGAUGGAUCCAACCAUGAGGGAUGGAAAUGUUUCAGUGAUGCUGAGGAAUGUAAGUAUCAACGAUACUGGAACGUACAAGUGUCAGAUUACAACCAAGGAAACAGAAAGUGUCGUCCAUGAGUGCUCCAUCAGCCUCAGAGUCACAACCUCAGAUAAACGCACCAAGGAGUCCCAGACUGAGUCCACAGAUGGAGGAGAGAGGGUUAAGUGUCUGUCUGUCAUCAUCCUCGUCCUGUCAGUUUUUGUUGUGCUUAUUACUGAUAUUAUGUAAUUGCCCGCAGAACCUGAAAAAUGUGUCUGAUCUCUUUACUGACAGCGACUUCUGCUCUUCAACAAAGACGAAUCUUUCAAGUUAGAGCUUCAUGCAGCACAUUCACAGCACUGCAGGCCUCACCAAUCAUUACAGUUAAAUCAGUUCAUGUUAGAUCAGUGCUGUGGGUUCCCAGUGUGGCUGUAAAAAGCUUUGAGUUUAACCCUGGGUUUUAUGUACCUGUAGCUUUAUUGUUUGAAGUCUGCAGCAGAGCUUGGCUUUCCUUUGAGAACAGGCAGCAGGUGGAGGAGCAGCUGGUGUGCACAGGGGAGUAAAUGAUAGGUUGAGUCUUUCCAAAAGAAAAAAUCAAUCUAUCCUUUUUCUUUAGCUUAUCUGGAGUGGGUUAUGGGAGCCCCAGCCUAAGCAGAGAAGGCCAGGCCUCCUUCUCACCAGCCACUUCCUCCAGGGUGUCCUGGAGCCUCCUCCCAGUGGAAAAAAUGAAACGAGUAGGUGUUGUUGUAGUUUUUGUUUGGGGGGGGGGGGUUGUUUUGACCAACAGAAUCAGCAUUAACAUGUAAUAUAAGCUAUAUAUAUCACAGCGCAUGUAGGCAGAGGUGGAUGCAUGCAGUGCAUCUACUGUAGCAAGACUUGGAACAUCUUAGAUUCCAAAGUAUACUACUGAUUAAGCUCUUUAUUACCUUCUUCAAGCACUUACUUGCACUUUUAAAAAAUAUUUGUCUUUUAACCAACUGCAGGCACUUUCCUCCUUUUUGCUGAGACCUUAUCAGUGGUUUCGAUUCAGAUGACCUCACAUUUCAGAUCACUGGCUCGGGCAUCUCUGGACUGUUUUCAGCACAGCUGCAGUUUUAAGCUCUCAGCAGACAUCCUAUUAUGUCCUCUUGUUCUUGUGUCUCUGUGAUCAAUCAUCUUUAAUGAGUCAGAACUCGGACUUUUCAAAUAAUUUUCACUUUUGGGAGGUGGACAAAAUCACAGGGAGGCUAAUGUGGUGAAUAGGGUGGUGAUCAAAGAUUUCACUCGGUAGACUUUAAUGUACUGAGCGACAGUACAGAGAGGGACCGACACCUCCUACAAUUUGUGUUUAAAACUGACUUGAAUUUCAUUCCUGAGCAAUUUUCUGAUGAAGACAUUCAAAGACUGAGGGCAGGUUUAAAAACAGCAGCUGCACCUAAAACAGUCCAGAGGUUUCAGAUUUUUUUUUUUUAUGAAUCUGUUCUUAGAAUGUACUUUUAUUAUAGAUGUGUAUUAAAGUUAUCUGUUAGUCAGUGUUAGGGGACAAAGAUCAGCCGUUACCAGUUUGGUUUUAAUGCGCAGCAUAUAAUCCUGACAAAUAUCCAACACAACAGGCACUGAGUGAUGAGUCAAAUACAUUUUAAAUAAUCAAUUCAUAUAAUGGAAAUCUAUCAGUGCAAUGAUUGGAUAAAAUCUGUUAAAGAAACUGAGCAGAAGAUGUGCUCAUAUCAGGAGUAAACAAGACUGUGUGUGUGUGUGUGUGUACAUGUCAGAUGGAUGGUAUACAUACAUGUAUCCAUACAUAAGCUAUAAUGUGUUGUGAUUACGUUAUUAUUAAAAUUUGCAGUGUUCCUUGUUUUCUUUAUUUUUUUUAUUAACCGUAUGUGUGAAUGUUUUGACUGCACACAUUUGACUUCAUCUAGAAGACUGAAGGAUGUGUAUGGUGGUUUUUAUGUGAGGCCUUUUAUUUUGUAAGUAAGUAGUAAGUGGGGGCAGGCCCCAUGAUCGGAAAGUCGGGGGUUCGAAUCCAUUGAACUGCUACCCUGAGAUACCCUGAGCAAGGUACCGUCCCUACACACUGCAACCUGGGCGCCAAUGGCUGCCCACUGCUUCCCACUGUCUGUUUAAUAUCUUUUUAAAAUAAUGUUAAAUCUUAUUUUGGGUCAAAGUCAGAAAACAUUUAAAACACAUCAUGUCAGAUUUGACUGCUGAUUCUAUACAUGCAUAUUUUAUGCCCUGGUGACCAUUAAUAUUAAAGGAGGUGUAGAUGAUGCUUCACAAAUAACGACCAGUGUUUCCUGAUGGCUGCAGAGCAUGGAGAUAUGCUGUCGUCCUGCAGCUGUGGCGCCAGAGAUGAGUCCAUCCUGUGGAGAUGAAAGCUUAGUUUAACUUUGUCGUGUUGCAAAUCACAUCAAGUUUCACCUGGAUGAGGAAACAGUCUUGGAGUCAUAACUGGUGAUGGUGAUCUUAGACUAGUUACUUUUCCUCCCACCUCCUUAGAUCACCAUGACCUGCAUGACUGAAAACCUACACAGACUUGGUUAUUGUUUUUAUUGAUGUUUUUGACUCACUGAGUUCUGUUUAAAGGAUCAAGGGUCAACACCCCCUCCUCACAUCCAGCUGUGGCCCUGCCACCCUCAGAGCUCUGUGCAGACCCC